GCUUAACACAUGCAAGUCAAGGGGGCCCAGCAAUGGGCAACCGGCGAACGGGUGCGUAACACGUGAGCAACCUACCGAACUGUGGGGGAUAGCCGGCCUAACGGCCGAGUAAUACCGCAUACGCUCUCAGAGUGGCAUUUCUUUGAGAGGAAACCUACGGGACAGAUCGAGGGGCUCGCGGCCUAUCAGCUAGUUGGCGAGGUAUCGGCUCACCAAGGCAACGACGGGUAGCUGGUCUGAGAGGAUGGCCAGCCACGUUGGGACUGAGAUACGGCCCAGACUCCUACGGGAGGCAGCAGUGGGGAAUCUUGCGCAAUGGCCUAACGGCUGACGCAGCGACGCCGCGUGUGGGAUGAAGCUCUUCGGAGUGUAAACCACUGUUGCCCGGGACGAACAGCUCGAUUAAUCGAGCCUGACGGUACCGGGUGAGGAAGCACCGGCUAACUCCGUGCCAGCAGCCGCGGUAAUACGGGGGGUGCGAGCGUUGUCCGGAAUCACUGGGCGUAAAGGGCGCGUAGGUGGUUUGAUAAGGGUGUGGUGAAAGUCCGGGGCUCAACCCCGGAUCUGCCGUGCCGACUGUCAAACUCGAGGACUGUAGAGGCAGACGGAAUUCCGGGUGUAGCGGUGGAAUGCGUAGAGAUCCGGAGGAAGACCGGUGGCGAAGGCGGUCUGCUGGGCAGUUUCUGACACUGAGGCGCGACAGCGUGGGG
rnacentral:rRNA from 1 species